rnacentral:lncRNA from 1 species
AUUUAUUCAUUCCUAUUUAAAGCAGAUUUUGUUCCUGAUUUGUCAGAAAACCUGAGAUGACUGUCAGCUUUUUCACAAACAUGGGGUCCUGAAUUUUCUAAUGAGAGGAGAAAGCUCUGUUGGCUUGUGGAUUCACAGUUUGAGUUGCUGCCAUCACAUUGGCCUGUUCUUUCCACAAGCACUAAAUUUAUUUUAAAAAGAGCCAAAGAGUUUUAUGAGAAAAGUCCAUCUUUUCAUGGGUGUGCCAAUAUACAGAAACAGUUAUUUCCCAUCUGGGAUCUCUCUACAUGCUCUGAUAAUCAUGUGAGAAGUGGAGAGAUUACAAAAGAUUUUGCUGUUCUGUAUUCAUUUAGAACAGCUAUAAGGGCUUUUGGAUAA